GUUUUUAGAAACUGUUUUGGGAUUGGAAUAAGCGAAGGAGAAGCAAAUCAGAUGAUCAUCUUCAUCCAUGGGUUUAUAGACCUGUGGAGUACUGGAAGCUUGAAAUGUUAUAUUAGCAACGUGACAUCUCAGUUUUGUAUUUAAAUUAUCUCUUGAUUGAUUUAGAUUCAUCUCAAAUCUGUAUUUGAUAUAUCUAGGGUUUUCGUAUAUUUUUGUAGGAUAGUUAAAUAAUGAUGAGGAUAUGUAUGUGUUAAUUGCAGGUUUAUGGUGCUGCUUCCUCAACCCUGGUUUAACUUGGUUCAACGCAGGAGAAGUGGAGGUUUUCGUCGAUUUGGUGUGUGUCCGUGAUCGACUCGGACGUGUUUCGGUGCGAUUCUAUGUGAUUUCGAUUGAUUUUAAAUGAGUUUCAAACAAGUUUCAAUCUGUUUUGAUGUCUUACGGCUGAUUGCGAUUCAGUUUUAAAUCGAUUUGAGGCCCUUCGGUUGACAACAAAGACGCAUGCUAAGGAUUUUGUUAGAUUGGAUCAAGAUAUAUUGUCACCUCUUGCUUGGAAAGAAGCAGUUAUACACUUACGAGACGAUGGAUUUCUGGGAACAGAUUAAACUCCAGCGUGGAUGCUUCCAUGGACGUGAUGAUUUAACUUAUGGAGUUGAUAUCAACCAAAUACAGUGGAUGGGUGUGCUUCAGGGUGGUGGUUUUCUUACUAGGCAUAUUAUACUAGGCAUAUUUCUUUAGAUGAAAACAUUUCAAGUUCAGUUUGAAACAUGGGUGUUGGCCAAGUAAGGAAGCUGGCGGCUGGUGGUGGUUCGAUGAAGUGAUUAACUGUGCGUAAAGGGGAUGACAUGGCAGCUGACGAUGAUUCAAACGACAAUGAUGAUGAUGAUCUGUCGAUAGAUGAUGCUACACAUGCUGCUAACAAGAAGGGUCACAGUAGUAAUUGGUCUUCACGAACAGAAGGGUUAGUGAAGAUAAUUGAGGUGUUGAUAAAAAAGCAAGAUGAGCAGUUUUCAGUUUUGGUGGGAAUAGUUGGUAUAUAUGUGGCGAGAGAUAAGGCGGCAACUGAUAAAAGAACGAAAUUGAACGGAGAGUUGAAAAAGUUACCAAAUCUUAGUCUACAAGCACGACUUCGAGCAACAUCUGUUAUUGUUGGUGAUUCUGCUAAACUUGAUAUUUUUAUAGUCUUUCUAAUGUAUUGUUUAUUAUUCACUGCUUAUGCAUUUGAUACAUAUGUAAUAAGGAUGAAAGUAAAGUAGUGAAUUUAGUAACUACA